rnacentral:rRNA from 1 species
UACGUAGGGGGCAAGCGUUGUCCGGAUUUAUUGGGCGUAAAGAGCGUGUAGGCGGCUUGGUAGGUCCGCUGUGAAAACUCGAGGCUCAACCUCGAGAUGUCGGCGGAAACCACUUGGCUAGAGUCCGGAAGAGGAGAGUGGAAUUCCCGGUGUAGCGGUGAAAUGCGCAGAUAUCGGGAAGAACACCUAUGGCGAAGGCAGCUUACUGGGCCGAUACUGACGCUGGAGGAAGCGAAAGCGUGGGGAGCGAACAGG